rnacentral:piRNA from 1 species
UGAAGCUUUUAAUUGGGGGUGGGA